GACAGAGGGUGCAAACGUUGUUCGGAAUUACUGGGCGUAAAGCGUGUGUAGGCUGCUACAUAAGUCGGAUGUGAAAGCCCCGGGCUCAACCCGGGAAGUGCACUCGAUACUGCGUAGCUUGAGUCUCGGAGAGGUUGGUGGAAUUCUCGGUGUAGAGGUGAAAUGUGUAGAGAUCGGGAGGAACACCGGUGGCGAAGGCGGCCUUCUGGACGGUGACUGACGCUGAGGCGCGAAAGCGCGGGGAGCAAACGGG
rnacentral:rRNA from 1 species